AACGUAGGACGCAAGCGUUAUCCGGAGUUACUGGGCGUAAAGCGCGGGCAGGCGGCCUCGCAAGUCUGAUGUGAAAGCACUCUGCUCAACAGAGUGAUGCCAUUGGAAACUACGAGGCUGGAGUCUGGCAGAGGUAGGCGGAAUUCCGGGUGGAGUGGUGAAAUGCGUAGAGAUCCGGAGGAACACCAGAGGCGAAGGCGGCCUACUGGGCCAGUACUGACGCUGAGACGCGAAAGCCGGGGGAGCGAACGGG
rnacentral:rRNA from 1 species